rnacentral:rRNA from 1 species
UACGUAGGGUGCGAGCGUUGUCCGGAAUUAUUGGGCGUAAAGAGCUUGUAGGCGGUUUGUCGCGUCUGCUGUGAAAAUCCGGGGCUUAACCCCGAGCCUGCUUCUGAUACGGGCAGACUAGAGGUAUGCAGGGGAGAACGGAAUUCCUGGUGUAGCGGUGAAAUGCGCAGAUAUCAGGAGGAACACCGGUGGCGAAGGCGGUUCUCUGGGCAUUACCUGACGCUGAGGAGCGAAAGUGUGGGGAGCGAACAGG